rnacentral:rRNA from 1 species
AUGUACUCGUCGCAAUCGGCGAGUCGCAUCAACAACAUCCGAACUUCUCUCAUCAACGCGCAGAAGGGCAACCUCUCCGUCACCUCCUACUUCGCCACCAUGCGUGGCUACGCCGACGAGCUGGCAGCGGCGGGCAAGGCGAUCCUCGACGAUGAGCUCAUCUCCUACAUCAUCCACGGGCUCGACGCUGACUACCAGCCUCUGAUCUCCGCUCUAGAUGCUCGCAUCACUCCCGUCACCAUCGACGAGCUCUUCGCCAUGCUCUCGAGCUUCGAUCAGCGGAUGGUGCACUUCCACGGCUCCGGUGGCGGCGGCUUCAAGUCCUCGGCGAACUCGGCCUCUCGUGGUCGUGGUGCCUCCUCUCGGCGCGGCGGCUUCUCCCGUGGCAGGGGGAGGUCCAGUGGAGGAGGCAACGGCGGCGGCUCCAAAUCACGCCGCGGUGGAGGCAACCCUCGCGCACGACCUGAUGCCCCUCGCUGUCAGAUAUGUGGCAAGUUGGGGCACACAGCAAAAUAUUGCUGGUACCGCUACGAAGAGGACGACGAUUCCUCUCAAGAUGAUGAAAAGGUGGUGGCGGCUGCAGAUGGCUCCUACGGAAUCGACACCAACUGGUACGUCGACAGCGGCGCGACCAAACACAUCACCAAUGAGCUCGAGAAGGUGACCAUGAAGGAGAAAUACCGCGGCAAGGACCAAAUACACACAGCUAGUGGUGAAGGUAUGGAGAUCCGUCACAUUGGUCAUUCAAGUUUGGGACAAUUCCAUUUAUCCCCCUAA